CCUGACCUUGUCUCCUGCAGUGCCACGCUCCGUGUAUUUGAUAAACUGAAUUAGACACUCCAUGUGGUAGAGUGUCAGUUUGUCAAAUACCCCAAGUGCGGCUCAUGCCUAGCAACUCCAGGCCA
rnacentral:pre_miRNA from 15 species